rnacentral:rRNA from 1 species
GAUGAACGCUGGCGGCGUGCUUAACACAUGCAAGUCGAACGGGAUCCAAGGGGUGCUUGCACUUUUUGGUGAGAGUGGCGAACGGGUGAGUAACACGUGAGUAACCUGUCCUUUUCUUUGGGAUAAGCAUUCGAAAGGGUGUUUAAUACCUUAUGUUCUGUCUGCCUCGCAUGGGGUGGGUGGGAAAGGCUUUGGCCGGAUUUGGGUGGGCUCGCGGUCUAUCAGCUUGUUGGUGGGGUGAUGGCUUACCAAGGCUUUGACGGGUAGCCGGGCUUGGAGGGUGGUCGGUCACAUUGGGACUGAGAUACGGCCCAGACUCCUGCGGGGGGAAGCAGUGGGGGAUAUUGCACAAUGGGCGAAAGCCUGAUGCAGCGACGCCGCGUGGGGGAUGAAGGCCUUCGGGUUGUAAACUUCUUUUGCUCUGAACAAGGCAUGCCAGUGGGUGUGUUGAGUGUAGGGGGUGAUUAGCGCCGGCUAACUACGU